rnacentral:rRNA from 1 species
GACGAACGCUGGCGGCGUGCCUAAUACAUGCAAGUCGAGCGAGUCCCUUCGGGGGCUAGCGGCGGACGGGUGAGUAACACGUAGGCAACCUGCCCGUAAGCUCGGGAUAACAUGGGGAAACUCAUGCUAAUACCGGAUAGGGUCUUCUCUCGCAUGAGAGGAGACGGAAAGGUGGCGCAAGCUACCACUUACGGAUGGGCCUGCGGCGCAUUAGCUAGUUGGUGGGGUAACGGCCUACCAAGGCGACGAUGCGUAGCCGACCUGAGAGGNUGACCGGCCACACUGGGACUGAGACACGGCCCAGACUCCUACGGGAGGCAGCAGUAGGGAA